rnacentral:rRNA from 1 species
UGCAAGUCGAACGGUAGCAGGAGGAAGCUUGCUUUCUUGCUGACGAGUGGCGGACGGGUGAGUAAUGCUUGGGAAUCUGGCUUAUGGAGGGGGAUAACGACGGGAAACUGUCGCUAAUACCGCGUAGUGUCGAGAGACGAAAGGGUGGGACUUUUAGCCACCUGCCAUGAGAUGAGCCCAAGUGGGAUUAGGUAGUUGGUGGGGUAAAGGCCUACCAAGCCUGCGAUCUCUAGCUGGUCUGAGAGGAUGACCAGCCACACUGGAACUGAGACACGGUCCAGACUCCUACGGGAGGCAGCAGUGGGGAAUAUUGCGCAAUGGGGGGAACCCUGACGCAGCCAUGCCGCGUGAAUGAAGAAGGCCUUCGGGUUGUAAAGUUCUUUCGGUAUUGAGGAAGGUUGAUGUGUUAAUAGUACAUCAAAUUGACGUUAAAUACAGAAGAAGCACCGGCUAACUCCGUGCCAGCAGCCGCGGUAAUACGGAGGGUGCGAGCGUUAAUCGGAAUAACUGGGCGUAAAGGGCACGCAGGCGGUUAUUUAAGUGAGGUGUGAAAGCCCCGGGCUUAACCUGGGAAUUGCAUUUCAGACUGGGUAACUAGAGUACUUUAGGGAGGGGUAGAAUUCCACGUGUAGCGGUGAAAUGCGUAGAGAUGUGGAGGAAUACCGAAGGCGAAGGCAGCCCCUUGGGAAUGUACUGACGCUCAUGUGCGAAAGCGUGGGGAGCAAACAGGAUUAGAUACCCUGGUAGUCCACGCUGUAAACGCUGUCGAUUUGGGGGUUGGGGUUUAACUCUGGCGCCCGUAGCUAACGUGAUAAAUCGACCGCCUGGGGAGUACGGCCGCAAGGUUAAAAC